rnacentral:rRNA from 1 species
UACGUAGGGUGCAAGCGUUGUCCGGAAUUAUUGGGCGUAAAGAGCUCGUAGGCGGCUUGUCAAGUCGGCUGUGAAAACCCGGGGCUCAACUCCGGGCCUGCAGUCGAUACGGGCUGGCUUGAGUGCGGUAGGGGAGACUGGAAUUCCUGGUGUAGCGGUGAAAUGCGCAGAUAUCAGGAGGAACACCGGUGGCGAAGGCGGGUCUCUGGGCCGUAACUGACGCUGAGGAGCGAAAGCGUGGGGAGCGAACAGG